rnacentral:lncRNA from 1 species
UUGGAUGUGAAUGCUCUAAUCCCUUUGUUCGCUCCUAAAACCCCACCAAGAAAUCGAUUUCAUUCAUAUCCGGUUUUAACUCCGUCGCUCUCAUCUUCAGAUACCAAAACCCUAACAGAGGAAAUUAUCUGAUAUACAGUGAAUAGAACCUUUAACUUUGUUGUGAACACCCACAAAUUGAUUUCUUCCGUAGCCUGUUUACCUUGGUCGCUCUUAUCUUCAUAUUCUUCGGAUACCAAAACCCUAAAAGGGGAAAAUUUCUAGUCUACUGUUAAUAGAACCUCCAUCUUCGGUGUGAAGCAAGAUUUCAUCGAUAAAUGAAAGGAACUAAGCGGCUCGGUAAUUAGAAUCUGGUGCAGACACUAAUUCAUUUACUUAAGGGCGAGAAUCUAUUGCAUGUAAACCGAAGCAGGAGCAGAUCAAGUUCUUGCUUGUGAUCUUCAUUUAGGGCAAUCAAUGGGCUAUUUUGACCUUCCAGCUGAUCAUGUUCAUGGUCAGGUACAAUAGUUGAUGAUGCUUGAUUGAUGAUAUUGGUGUAUUCUCACAUAGGAAU